rnacentral:rRNA from 1 species
CACGUAGGGUGCGAGCGUUGUUCGGAAUUAUUGGGCGUAAAGAGCUCGUAGGCGGUGUGUCGCGUCGGCCGUGAAAACCUGCAGCUUAACUGUGGGCUUGCGGUCGAUACGGGCAUCACUGGAGUUCGGCAGGGGAGACUGGAAUUCCUGGUGUAGCGGUGAAAUGCGCAGAUAUCAGGAGGAACACCAAUAGCGAAGGCAGCUCGCUGGGACGGUAUUGACGCUAAGGCGCGAAAGCGUGGGGAGCAAACAGG